rnacentral:rRNA from 1 species
GUGAGGAAUUUUCCGCAAUGGGCGAAAGCCUGACGGAGCAAUGCCGCGUGAAGGAUGAAGGCCUAUGGGUUGUAAACUUCUUUUCUCAGAAAAGAAUUAUGACGGUAUCUGAGGAAUAAGCAUCGGCUAACUCUGUGCCAGCAGCCGCGGUAAGACAGAGGAUGCAAGCGUUAUCCGGAAUGAUUGGGCGUAAAGCGUCUGUAGGUUGUUUAAAAAGUAUUCUGUCAAAGAUUAGGGCUUAACCCUAGAUAGGCAGAAUAAACUUUUAAGCUAGAGGUUGGUAGAGGCAGAUGGAAUUCCCGGUGGAGCGGUGAAAUGCGUAGAUAUCGGGAGGAACACCAAAGGCGAAGGCACUCUGCUGGGCCAAUACUAACACUGAGAGACGAAAGCGAGGGGAGCAAAUGGGAUUAGAUACCCGGGUAGUCC